UACGAAGGUUGCAAGCGUUACUCGGAAUUACUGGGCGUAAAGCGUGCGUAGGCGGUUUGUUAAGUCUGUCGUGAAAGCCCCGGGCUCAACCUGGGAAUGGCGAUGGAAACUGGCGAGCUAGAGUACGGUAGAGGAGAGUGGAAUUCCCGGUGUAGCAGUGAAAUGCGUAGAGAUCGGGAGGAACAUCAGUUGCGAAGGCGGCUCUCUGGACCAGUACUGACGCUGAGGCACGAAAGCGUGGGGAGCAAACAGG
rnacentral:rRNA from 1 species